AGUUGAUAGCUUAGUGGUAGAGUGCAUGCUUUGUAUGUAUAAUGUCAUGGGUUCGGUUGCCGUUGCAAAUG